UACAGAGGGGGCAAGCGUUGUUCGGAAUUACUGGGCGUAAAGGGCGCGUAGGCGGCCGCCUAAGUCAGACGUGAAAUCCCUCGGCUCAACCGGGGAACUGCGUCUGAUACUGGGUGGCUUGAAUUCGGGAGAGGGAUGCGGAAUUCCAGGUGUAGCGGUGAAAUGCGUAGAUAUCUGGAGGAACACCGGUGGCGAAGGCGGCAUCCUGGACCGAAACUGACGCUGAGGCGCGAAAGCUAGGGGAGCAAACGGG
rnacentral:rRNA from 1 species